AAUCUGGCAGCAAUGUCCGAGUUGUAAUUUGAAGAGAGUAACUUUGAGUUGGGUCCUUGCAUAUGUUCCUUGGAACAGGACGUCAUAGAGGGUGAGAAUCCCGUUCUGUGAGGUGACCCUUCUCUUGUAAAGUGCCCUCGAAGAGUCGAGUUGUUUGGGAAUGCAGCUCUAAGUGGGUGGUAAAUUCCAUCUAAAGCUAAAUAUUGGCGAGAGACCGAUAGCGAACAAGUACAGUGAUGGAAAGAUGAAAAGAACUUUGAAAAGAGAGUGAAAAAGUACGUGAAAUUGUUGAAAGGGAAGGGCUUGAAAUCAGACUUGGUAUUCAGUGAUCAACUUUCUUUCGGGAAUGUGCACUCGCUGUUUACUGGGCCAGUAUCGGUUUUGGCGGUGGGAUAAUGGUAUAGGAAUGUGGCUCCUCGGAGUGUUAUAGCCUAUAUUGAUACCACCAGCUGGGACCGAGGACCGCGCUUUUAGCUAGGAUACUGGCGUAAUGAUUUUAAGCCACCCGUCUUGA
rnacentral:rRNA from 1 species